UUUUUGUGUUAUUUCAACAAAUCAAUCAAAUGAUUGCGGAUGUUGACAAGGAUGGAAGUGGUGCCAUUGAUUUCGAUGAAUUUUGUCACAUGAUGACUGCUAAAAUCGGAGAAAGAGACACUAAGGAAGAAUUAAUGAAAGCAUUUCGUAUAAUCGACCAAGAUAAUAAUGAACACUAAUGUCCCUGUCUUCCCUGAAGAAGUAUGUGUCACCUAGUUGGGGGCAGCCAUUUGUAGGAGCUAGCAUUUUGGCAGUUUCAGGGAAUGGAGCUAGCAUUUGGAGAGAGGCUGAACUUGAAUCUUGGGACGACAAACUCAAUAAAGGCCUGGUUGUAUUUCGUGACGAUGGAAGCUCAGAGACGGUGGGGGCAGAAGCAAUGUCAUUAUCAUUCGAGUGACAAAUCGAAGUAGACUGAUCAUAAGACUCUACGAAGGCUUGCUCAGAACCGUGAGGCAGCAAGGAAAAGCCGGUUGAGGAAAAAAGUCUACACUCCGAGGAUUGCGCCUUAUGCGAGGAAUUUGAUGUGGUUCGUGAGCAAUGGGCCAAGUUUUUUACCAGCAAGUAUUUAUUAUUGGCUUUAGCGCGCUUGAUCGAGUUGGUUUAGUUGUUAUAGAAUAAAUUUUAUAUUAAAAUGUAUGUUUAUGUUGAAAUUGGAACAUAUAUUUAAAUGUAAUAUGUGCACUUAAUUUGGUUUUGGGAUAUAUAGUAUACAAAACUCCAGUUGUUGUUUUUA